UACGGAGGUGUCGAGCGUUGUCCGGAAUUACUGGGCGUAAAGAGCUCGUAGGCGGUUUGUUGCGUCGGCUGUGAAAUCCCGAGGCUCAACCUCGGGUCUGCAGUCGAUACGAGCAAACUAGAGUGUUGCAGGGGAGACUGGAAUUCCUGGUGUAGCGGUGAAAUGCGCAGAUAUCAGGAGGAACACCGGUGGCGAAGGCGGGUCUCUGGGCAACAACUGACGCUGAGGAGCGAAAGCGUGGGGAGCGAACAGG
rnacentral:rRNA from 1 species